GACGAACCGUGCGAACGUUGUUCGGAAUCACUGGGCUUAAAGAGCGUGUAGGCGGCCAGGUAGGUCUGGUGUGAAAACUCGAGGCUUAACCUUGAGAUGUCAUCGGAAACCAUUUGGCUAGAGUCCGGAAGAGGAAAGUGGAAUUCCUGGUGUAGCGGUGAAAUGCGCAGAUAUCAGGAAGAACACCAAUGGCGAAAGCAGCUUUCUGGGACGGUACUGACGCUGAGACGCGAAAGCGUGGGGAGCGAACAGG
rnacentral:rRNA from 1 species